GACGUGGGGCGCGAGCGUUGUCCGGAUUUAUUGGGCGUAAAGAGCUCGUAGGCGGCUCGUUGCGUCGGCUGUGAAAACCCGCAGCUCAACUGUGGGCUUGCAGCUGAUACGGGCGGGCUGGAGUUCGGUAGGGGAGACUGGAAUUCCUGGUGUAGCGGUGAAAUGCGCAGAUAUCAGGAGGAACACCGGUGGCGAAGGCGGGUCUCUGGGCCGAUACUGACGCUGAGGAGCGAAAGCGUGGGGAGCGAACAGG
rnacentral:rRNA from 1 species